UUUGGUUCUGAUCUUAGGAGAAAUUUGCCCGUAGACCUAGCAGAAGGAGUUCUUCGAGCACUCUGUCUACAAGCAUUAGGACAGGUGUCGCAACCUACCCUUCGGCGGGAAGGCGAAGCGAGGCUCAGGGGUGCAUCUUCCAAGAAAGGAAAAUGCGCGAAGUUGCCACCAACGUUUAUUCGAGGAAAACGUCGGAAAAACGGAAAAGACAUGGUCUACGAACUUUAAGUGUGAAAGGUUCGGGAGUUGUUUUUAC
rnacentral:lncRNA from 1 species